UGGGGGAUAUUGCACAAUGGAGGGAACUCUGAUGCAGCGACGCCGCGUGAGUGAAGAAGUAUUUCGGUAUGUAAAGCUCUAUCAGCAGGGAAGAUGAUGACGGUACCUGACUAAGAAGCCCCGGCUAACUACGUGCCAGCAGCCGCGGUAAUACGUAGGGGGCAAGCGUUAUCCGGAUUUACUGGGUGUAAAGGGAGCGUAGACGGAAUGGCAAGUCUGAAGUGAAAACCCCGGGCUCAACCUGGGGACUGCUUUGGAAACUGUUGUUCUAGAGUGUUGGAGAGGUAAGUGGAAUUCCUGGUGUAGCGGUGAAAUGCGUAGAUAUCAGGAAGAACACCGGAGGCGAAGGCGGCUUACUGGACAAUAACUGACGUUGAGGCUCGAAAGCGUGGGGAUCAAACAGGAUUAGAUACCCUGGUAGUCCACGCUGUAAACGAUGAAUACUAGGUGUCGGGGAGCAAAGCUUCUCGGUGCCGUCGCUAACGCAAUAAGUAUUCCACCUGGGGAGUACGUUCGCAAGAAUG
rnacentral:rRNA from 1 species